AACGAACGCUGGCGGCGUGCCUAACACAUGCAAGUCGAACGAGACCUUCGGGUCUAGUGGCGCACGGGUGCGUAACGCGUGGGAACCUGCCCUUAGGUUCGGAAUACCUCCCCGACAGGGGUGCUAAUACCGGAUAAUGUCUUCGGACCAAAGAUUUAUCGCCUUUGGAUGGGCCCGCGUUGGAUUAGCUAGUUGGUAGGGUAAAAGCCUACCAAGGCGACGAUCCAUAGCUGGUCUGAGAGGAUGAUCAGCCACACUGGGACUGAGACACGGCCCAGACUCCUACGGGAGGCAGCAGUGGGGAAUAUUGGACAAUGGGCGAAAGCCUGAUCCAGCAAGGCCGCGUGAGUGAUGAAGGCCGUAGGGUUGUAAGGCCCUUUUACCCGGGAUGAUAAUGACAGUACCGGGAGAAUAAGCUCCGGCUAACUCCGUG
rnacentral:rRNA from 1 species